CAAAUACGGAGGGUGAGGAGGAGAGAGACACGAGUUGCUGAAAGAGGAAGUGUUGGUGUACUCAGGAGCCAGGAUGUCCCUCAGCUGCAUCAACGCCAGCAGUCAGGUCAGGAUGAUGGAACAGCUGUCAAGUCCAGUCCCAGGUCGAGGUUAAUGCUAAUCGUGAUAGGGGUUGUUCAUUACCCGACACCUAACAUGUUAGCAUUAGCUUCACUCUGGGACAUCUCACCCAAAAAAACUGACCAAGGCCACCACUGGUACAUCCAACACUGAAGCCACGAUGCAACUGAGGAAUCUGUUGCAUGAACAGCCACAAAGUGAACACACGCACACCGUGUUACUGCUGUCGAAGACUUUCCGGCUCUAAAUGACGACGUCAAGACUCUGUGACUUUGUGAUUUAACUGUAUAGAUUCAAGUUUACAGCACCUGAGAAUUAACAAAUAGCCGUCUGGCUUUGAAGUAAUGCAUCCUUGUAUAUAUAUCACUUAAACCAUUGUAUAAAGAAACUUUUUAGUGUUCUAUAUGAAAGAAUGUUGCACAUGCUAUAUUUUGACUUGUACCUGUAUGAUACACUGUGUGCGGUGGGCCCAUGAAGAAGCCAGUUACUGUCAGUGAUUCUUUUAUUUUUCAGGAACACUGGAGGAUGAUGAAGUGGAAAUGAUCAUAAGCUCAAUAAACUGACAACCAUGUUAA